rnacentral:lncRNA from 1 species
GUGCCUUUCACCUUCUGCCAUGAUUGUGAAGCCUCCCCACCACAUGGAACGGUGACAGAUUGACUGGGAUCCCCUCGCACAUCCUCAACAGCUCCCCAUCAGACCGGCAGAUUAACCAGCUGGCCCAGAGGCUGGGCCCUGAGUGGGAGCCCAUGGUGCUGUCUCUGGGACUGUCCCAGACGGAUAUCUACCGCUGUAAGGCCAACCACCCCCACAACGUGCAGUCGCAGGUGGUGGAGGCCUUCAUCCGUUGGCGGCAGCGCUUCGGGAAGCAGGCCACCUUCCAGAGCCUGCACAACGGGCUGCGGGCUGUGGAGGUGGACCCCUCGCUGCUCCUGCACAUGUUGGAGUGAUGGUGCCUCCAGCAACCGCUGGGGAGUGUGUCCCUGAGUCAUGUGGGCUGAAUCCUGACUUUCACUCAGAGCAGGUGGUUUUUUGUGUAGGUUUGUUUUUUAUUUUUGAUGAUCUUCAGAUGGAAGGAGAAAACAGGGUUUCCACUAGACAUUACUUGAAAGGCCAGAUUACUCAGCAGAUCUCCCAUGUUGGCUCAACAAUUCUUUGUUUUUAAUUGCUUGAAGAUUGCAUUGUUGUAAUUGUUCAGUUUUUAAAUGUGUAAUGGCAUUUUAAUAGACUAGUAAAUCACAGUGGUUCAAAAUAUAUAUCCAUAUAUAUAUAUAUCCAUAUAUAUAUCUCAUGUCAUCACAUUACAGGCAGGUGUCUCAUAUGUAAAACAUUUACCUGAAUGUUGUCUGAGGACUGAACUGUGGACUUUACUAUUCAUAAUGAUAAAAUAAUAAAAUGCGAAUUACUAU